UUCAGUGCUCAUGGCUAGCAGGGUGGAAAUGCAGCCUUUUCAUAUGCCUUCAGAGCUACAGAAUAGCCAGCUGAGAAAGGUCCUGAAGAUUGGCUGUCAAUACAUCUCCACAUAAAGGCAAGCUUUCAUUAUUCUUUCAUCAGGUGCCUUCUGAAGCACAACCAAUGUCAACAGCUUGCUUCAAGUAUUGCAGGUACUCCACGGCUGCAAACUCUGGUAACUGUUUCUUCAAGAUCGCCGCUCCACCGUAUUGUGAAUCUCCAAGAUCGCCUCUUCGUUGUAUUGGAAUGUACAAGUCUCUCCUCUCACUGAUUUAAUGAGUCACCUGGACUUUCUAAACUGCCACUCUAAGACUGUGCUUGAGUAAGACUUUGUUAAGAACUGUUUCUAAGUUUGAUUGUUUGGGAACUAUA